rnacentral:lncRNA from 1 species
AGAAAUCAAGCAUUGAAAAGGUAAAUUUCAUUGAUUUUCCUUGUGAUUUUCACUACCCAUGCAUUUUUUUCUCAUUUCCAUGCAAAAUUAGAAAGUGGGUAUGGACACCCAUCCUGGCCAAACCUCCAUGGAUGAGUUUUGAGCUUGAUUUUUGGUUGAUUUUAAUUGAAUUAAGUGAUUUUAGUUAAGUUAUAUUGAAAUAUAGCAAAAAUAAGCUAGAGAUAUAAUUUUCUCCCAUUGAAACCCAUUAUGCCGAAUUUUCUAGGGGAAUAUUGGCUGCUGAUCUUGAUGUUUAUUUGAGGAAUUAUGAUGAAUAAUAAUGAAUUAUGAGCCUAGAAAAAUAAUGGGAAUUUUCGGAGCAAAAAUAUAAAUUUUUACCCACUAGGGGUAUUUUCGUAAUUUGCUAUCGGGAUUGAUAAUUUGCACCGCACUGAGAGACAUUAAGUCAAUUUGGGUGCAAUUGAGAUAUAGAAACUGAAAAAAAUUAAUUUGGAGUUUAAACGAACGCGUAUAUCGAUUUAUCGGGUAAAAAACCGAAAUAGGCUAACACCGCAUUUAGGCAAAAAUUUAGACAUUUUUGCAUUCCAUAUCAAGCAUUAGUAGUCUAAAUUAGUUUAAUUUCAAUUUAGUACCAAUGUGGUGAAUUUAUCGAUUUUAUACUGUGUCAAGGUGGUGAGUCCUCCGAUAAAGGUAAGGAAAUUACACCCGAGGACCAGUAGUCUGAGUAUUUCGAAAAUCCCCACUUUAGACACGGUGAGUAACCUUACCAUAAUUUUAAUUAUCUAAAGUAUGUUUUUAUUUGGUUUUGGUGAAUUUUAUGAAAAUGAGUUCAAAUGGUAAAUUUUUAUGUUUUGUAAACAAAAUGAGUUUAAAUGAAAAUAUUUUAUAAAUUAUCUUGAAACGAAAUAACGAUUUUGAAAAUAGAGUAAUUGGAUACCACUGAUAUGUUGUAAAUUUAAAAUUGAAUUAAUGGCUUAUGUUAUUGUAUUGGCAUGACUGGCUGGGCUGUGUUUUUUAUGAAUUGUAUGAAUUGCUUUAUUUUACCCUUGCAGGCUAGGUAGUAAUAUAUUAGCCAUGUCAUGCUGUCAAAAUUUUAUUGUACGGUGGCUUUGACCUGCUGCAAUGGACUGGGUUCUGUGGACUAGCCUAUUAGAAGGGCACGAAAUCCUGUUAUAACCUCGAUUGGAGAGGCGAGUAAGGUAACUCCCGAGGUAUAACUUUAAAGUUCACUUCACGCCAAACCACCACAUGAAGGGGAACUCGGCCAACGCCAAGGAAUGACCAUGUUUUCAAAAUAAAAACACGACUUUCUAAUAGCCUUGGCAGACUCAGUUGGGAUAGCCCUCGGCCAAGG